rnacentral:rRNA from 1 species
GACGAACGCUGGCGGCGUGCUUAACACAUGCAAGUCGAACGAUGAAGAAGAGAAACGCGAACUUCGGUUCAAAUUUCACUUCGGAUUAGUGGCAGACGGGUGAGUAACGCGUGAGCAACCUACCCCUUACAAAGGGAUAGCCUCGGGAAACCGUGAUUAAUACCAUAUGACACAUUCAUAAGGCAUCUUAAGACUGUUAAAGCUACGGCGGUAAGAGAUGGGCUCGCGUCCCAUUAGCUAGUUGGUGAGGUAACGGCCCACCAAGGCGACGAUGGGUAACCGGCCUGAGAGGGUGAACGGUCACAUUGGAACUGAGACACGGUCCAAACUCCUACGGGAGGCAGCAGUGGGGAAUAUUGCACAAUGGAGGGAACUCUGAUGCAGCGACGCCGCGUGAGCGAUGAAGGAAUUCGUUUCGUAAAGCUCUGUUCUAUGGGAAGAAAAGGACUGUACCAUAGGAGAAAGCCCCGGCUAAAUACGUG